rnacentral:lncRNA from 1 species
ACCAAAUACAGAAACAUGCUGCAAAUUCUCACAACACAAACAAAUACAGAAACAUGCUGCAAAUACUCACAAUGCAACCAAAUACAAAAACACACUCCAAAUGCUUUUGUUUGCAUUGUAAACAAAUACAAAAACAUGCCACAAAGACUCAAAAAACAAACAAAUACAGAAACAAGCCGCAAAUACAAUGCAAACAAAUAUGGAAACGCACUGCAAAUACUCACAAUGCAACAAAACACAAAAACACACUCCAAAUGCUCACAAUGCAAACAAACACAGAAACAUGCCACAAAGACUCACAACACAAACAAAUACAGAAACAAGCCGCAAAUACUCACAAUGCAACCAAAUAUAGAAACAAACUUCAAAUACUCACAACACAAAAAAACAGAAAUGCACUGCAAAUACUCAAAAACAAACAAAUACAGAAAUACGCUGCAAAUACUCACAACACAAGCAAAUACAGAAACAUGCUGCAAAUAAUCACAAUGCAACCAAAUACAAAAACACACUCCAAAUGCUCACAAUGCAAACAAAUACAGAAACAUGCCACAAAGACUCCCAAAACAAACAAAUACAGAAACAAGCCGCAAAUACAAUGCAAACAAAUACAGAAACGCACUGCAAAUACUCACAAUGCAACCCAAUACAAAAACACACUCCAAAUGCUCACAAUGCAAACAAACACAGAAACAUGCCACAAAGACUCACAAUGCAAACAAAUACAGAAACAAGCCACAAAUACUCACAACGCAAACAAAUACAGAAACGCACUGCAAAUACUCACAGUGCAACCAAAUAUAAAAACAAACUGCAAAUACUCACAACACAAAAAAACAGAAAUGCACUGCAAAUACUCAAAAACAAACAAAUACAGAAACACGCUGCAAAUACUCACAACACAAACAAAUACAGAAACAUGCUGCAAAUACUCACAAUGCAGCCAAAUACAAAAACAUUAUCCAAAUACUUACAGCACAAACAAAUACAGAAACACGCCACAAAGACUCACAACACAAACAAAUACAGAAACACGCCGC